CCCCCAGACACCCAGUACUACCUCAAACGCUGAUCUCAUUACAUUAGCUGUUAUUGCCUUCACUUUUGCAGCCUGCUCUGGAAGAAGCGGAUCAUUUCCUGAGGUGUAAACACAGCUUCUGAUAAUGCCAACCUUACAAGGUCAGUCUGCUCUCAGAAGUCCACGGGUCAGCCACAGAGCUCAGAUACACAUUUCCUCAUCAAGAUUUCUUGGAGCAAGAUGAAGAUACGAACUGACGUUUCUGAUGGAAACCAUGGAAUAAAAACCAGGCUGUUUGAGAUGAUAUCUUCAGACACCUUGUCAAACUGAAGUCACAGCAGAGUGGUAUCUGGCCCUCCCAAAAAUCUCAGCCAUCCUUUGAGAAGCACUUCUCCUUCCUGCCACCAGGGAAGAAGAACAUGUUUCCUUCCCCUUCCACUAUGAUCAUAAGUUUUCUGAGGCCUCCCCAGUGAUGCUGAACUUGAAAAUCUCUACCCUUGGGAGCAGUACCUUUGUGUUAACAUCUCCUUAAGUGUGUAAAGAAAAACACAAGAAGAACCCGUGAUUUCAAGGAAGCAGCUACACAGAGUAGAUGAGUGUAGGAUUUGACAAGGUCAGAUCCCAUUUUGAGGUGUCUUUCUGCCAUAAACCACCUGAUGAUCUUGGGAACGCUACAUGCCAUCCCUAAAAUGGACUUUCACUCUUGUUGCCCAAGCUGGAGUACAAUGGCAUGAUCUCAGCUUAUUGCAGCCUCUGCCUGCUGGAUUCAAGCAAUUCUCCUGCCUCAGCCUUCCUAGUAGCUAGGAUUACAGUCAUGUGUCACCACACCCAGCUAAUUUUGUGUUUUUAGUAGAGACAGGGUUUCUCUAUGUUGGUCAGGCUGGUCUUGAACUCCCAACCUCAGGUGAUCCUCCUGCCUUGGCCUCUCAAAAUGCUGGGAUUAUAGGCGUGAGCCACUGUGCCUGGCCUGGAUCCUGAUAUUUAAACACUAUCCAAUACUCACAUAUUUGCUGCAUAAGGAACAAAACUGUUUCCCACGUGAUGGCCUUCCUAGGAAGGUCAGUGGAGAUCACCUUCCUCAGGACCCCAAAGCCAUGGCUACCCAAGGCUGCUCCCCUCUGGGGUCCUCAUAUUUGAUAUUCCACUACUAGAUAUUUCAUUCCUUUGGAUUUUUCUCUCCUUGAUUCUCAUUAAAAUUAAAAUGAAAAGUCUUCUGGGAGGAGUAACACAUUCAACCAAGAAGCAUAAACUUUAUCGAAUAUCCCUUUUCUUCUAUCAGGACUUGCAAGGCACUGGGUCUCCUAGGUGACAGCGAUGUAGGACAUUUUCUCCACCCCUUCAUCAGACCUGUGACAGGGGCACCAGCUUACUCAGCCCACUGCACUCAACCUCUUGUGGGAGGAAGCACCCGAGUGAGCAAGUUCAGAAUCUGCCCAGCUGCUUUGGGCUUUAGCAGGAGCAGGUUCCAUGCAGGCCCCAUGGCAGUGCCCAGAUGGGGUGCCUGCAACCCCCAAAGCCCCAGAGGGCAUGUUACAAUGCUCUAUUAGCACUGCCAUCCAUGGACAGCAGUGUGUUUUCAGUUCAAAGGAGCUCUUGCCUUGUCCUGUGGGAUGGCUGUCCUCCACCGGCAAGAACAACGGGCCAGUGUGACAGCCUUUUCUGGGUACCCACACUUGGUGAGUCCCAAGCUCUGUUCAGCAUCCAAAAAGAAUGAGGUUGCCCAGACACGUAAAGGAUGGUGAAGGCAGAGAGCUUUAUUAAGUGAUGGAAAUGGCUCUCAGCAGAGAGGGGAACUGGACAGGAGACAGAAUAGGCAGGUAAUCUUCCCUGAAGUCUGAACAUCACUGACUGGCUCUUCUUCAAUAUUAAGCCUAAUCUCUCCUCCUAAGGCUAGCCAUCCCUCUGACAUCAAGUUCUCGCUCUCCAGUUAAGCUGUUUCUCUCUCUACUGAGUCUGUAGUUUUUAUAGGCAAAGGAUGGGGAACAGGGCGAGCCACAGGUAGUUUUAGAAAAGGCAACAUUCAAUUGGUAAAAAGACAUUAUUCGGAAAGAACUGAUCAGGAGAGAGUAGACACACAGGGACAAAAGUCCACACUUUGGGCUAUGGGUUUCAUGCUUUUCAGCUGGAAGGUAGGACUUCACCAGGGACCUUCCCUGUCUGCCUAGAGUUUCUCUGCCUCUUGUCUAUAUCAACAGAGCCCGUUGGGAGUGAUGUGUGGUCAGAAAGGAUAAACAAUUGAGCUGAAGAUGAAUCUCCUAGGCUACUGCUCAAUACCAUGCUCAGCACAGUUCUAACACCAGUACCUGCUCAAAUAGGGAAUGAGAAGUAACUUUUCCAUGCCGGAGCCCCCAAAGAACAAGCAUUGUGUGUCCCACUUCAGUACCGAGACUCCUGCUGGAAUGCGUGGGACAAGCUGACAGUGAAUAUCCUGGUCUCAUCUUAUUUCUGGCACCUCUCCUGGAGUUCCCUCCUGGAGAACCUCAGCAGCAUUAAGAAGCUGGAGUUUCUUAAGCACCUGCCAGUGAAUGGCAGACUCCAGAAUUUCCUAAGAAUUGUUCAUCUGAGAACAUGGGGAUUAAAUGUGGAGAUUCUUGGAAUGCAUGAGGCUUUAGAAUGUGCAGUCUGGGGUCCACCUCUUAUAGAGAUCAAAGGGUAGAAAGAGACCAAGAAAGAGCUACUACUACUACUUGUGGAGUGUGUUCUGUGCCAGGAUUAAUCAUGCUACUUUAUCCUCACAGCCUCUUCACUUGGCAGAGUUAACCAUCCUCUGUUCCAAAAAACCAAAAUUCAGAAAGACUAAUUUAUUCAUAGAUACCCAUAGUAUAACCCAGGGUUGCUGGGUUUUGGGGUAUGCAUUAUUGUGAAAAGGUAUCAUUUGUAACUGUUGUACCUUGAGUUCUUGUUUCGAAAAAGUUCUAGGAAGAAGCUCAGCCCUGGAAAAAACAAAAACUGAUGGGAGCCAGAGAGGCUUGAGUCUGAGACGAAGUUUGGCGAACUCCGCUCAGUACCAUACUAACCUCCAAGCUUAGGAAGAAGCUUGUUUACCAUUUUCUGUUCAUGUGACGUAUGCAGAGGCAGGAUUGGCAGCUGCGCCUGUGCUGCCUAUACUCCACCUCUCCAUACAAUGACUCAGUUUACCAGCCAAAUUAAAAAACCGUGUUGACCUUUGUUAGGGGAGGCACUGCUUUAGGACCUAUCCUUGGUAUCCUCCUUACUUAUGGCAAGUAAUAAAACCCCCUUGUUAAAUCCUCCUUGGUUAUCACUGGACUGUUACUUGCCAAGCAAUUGAACCAACCUGUUGCCUGGGUAACACUAGUAAGUGAGAACGGGUAUGACUCUAAUCUCCCAGACUGUCUUCCUUUCCCUGCACUGUGCUACAGGCAGAUUGCACGGUAAGGCCUGGGGUAUAACACACACACGAUUCUAGCACAAACAAACAGAAAUAGGGGCCUCAGAAUUUAAUUUCUUGAUUAUAAUUCUGGUUUUUAAAUGCAUUUUAAAUUCAAUCCUUUUCUUUUCUUUUUCUUUUUUUUUUUUUUGAGACAGGGUCUCAGCUGUUGCCCAGGCUAGAGUGCAGUGGCAUGAUCUAUCAUGGCUCACUGGAGCAUCCAUGUCCUAAGCACAAGGCAUCCUCCUACCUUGGCCUCUCAACUAGUUCAGACCACAACCAUGAGCCACCAUGCCUGGCUAUUUUUGUUGUUGUAGUUAUUCUUUAUAGAACUGGGGGUCUCACUAUGUUGUCCAGGCUGGUCUCGAACUCCUGGUCUCAAGCAAUCCUUCUGCCACAGCCUUCCAAAGUAUUGAGAUUACAGGUGUGAACGAAUGCACUCAAGUUACAUCUUUAACAGUGAUAGGAAAAGCUUCAUGUACCUGAUGUACCCUCUGGCCAGGCACUUCUCAACUGCUGCUGCCACAGAAGGAGAACAUUGGCAUAAAUAAUUCACAAGAGCAUUUCUUGUUACAUUUUCUCAUACUUUAAUUAGGACUCUGCCUCUUGUCUCUAUCAACAUAUAGUAUCAUAGAGAGGCAUGAAAUGGUCUGUCACAUGUAGGCCUGGAGAGCUGAUGACUCACUCUCUACACAUGUGUUGGAUUCAACAUGAUCAAUCAUUCUGUUGAUGUAUUUUCACUGAAAAGAAUUCCACAGAGAAUAGCAAGGAGCUGACUGAAAUUACUUCAUUUAGGCCACUCCUGGAUGGCCCCAUUACAAUUGCUUUCCUUUCAUUUUGAAGAAGCACUAAACUUUCUUUCUUUUUUUUUUUUUUUGUGAGACGGAGUUUUGUUCAUGUUACCCAGGCUGGAGUGCAAUGGCAUGAUCUCCGCUCACCGCAACCCUCCUGGGUUCAGGCAAUUCUCCUGCCUCAG